AGAGUUUGGCCUAGCAUGAAGAAAAUAUCUAAUAAAAUUUUUUAAAAAAGAAAAAUGAAAAAAAAUUAAAGAAAAAAAAGUAAAAAUAGCUUUACUAUGAAUCUUAAACUCUCAUAACUGGAAUUUAUGGUUGUGAAAAACAAACAAACAAACAAACAAACAAACAAACCAACAAACCAACAAACCCACUCCUCUGAACAAACUACCAGGGCUGGUACUCUCCAGCACCGUAGAGUACACUACUAUCUUUUGAUCUAAUUAGCUGUAACCUAAUCUAUCCUCAACCUGAAGGUAGCUACUUGUGAUGGUUAAUAUUAGUUGUCAACCUGACUUGGUCUAGAACUGCCCAGGAGCCAAAUCCCUGGGUGUGACUUGGAAAGAGUUCCAGCGUCCCACUAAUAGUGGUGAGAAGGCCCAUCCUAACUGUGGACACUGCUAUUGCAUACUCUAGGCUUCCAGGCUGAACAUAAAUGAGAACACACGCUGCUUAGAAUUCAUCCCCUUCUGCUUCCUUACUUGGAGUGCAAUGUGUUCAACUGCCCUGUGCAUUUGCCACCCAUGCCAUUCCUACCAUGGUGGAUUAGACCCUCAAUCUGUAAACCCACAUAAACUCAUCCUUAAUGGAGUCGCUGAUGCCAGGAAUUUUGUCUAGGCAAGGAGAGCUUUGCUGCCAAAGCUCUAACCACUGUGUGAUAUAGCAGUGACUUCGAAACUGUGAUCUUAGCCAUCAUUGUCAUCACCAGCAUCAUCAGCAGCAGCAGCAGCAUCCCUUGGGCAGAAUGCCAGAAACUAAAAUGUUAAUUUUCUGUGCCUAAGGAAUGAGAAGCUCUGAGGCUAGAACCCAGUGAAAAUUUUUUCAAAACAAGAUUUCUAGUUAAUUCAGUGAACACAGAAGUUUGAAGUAAUACAGAAUACAAGUCUCUUACAAUAAGGAAUAGCAGGCAUGGCUAAUAAAGAUAGGACCUCAUAAAGUUUAUUGGAUAGUUGGCUGGCUCAUAUUAUAAUCUUAAGAUAAUUCCAUAUUUGCAAGGUUGACUAAGCUUUUAGUUGCUUAAUAACAAAUAAAAUUGCAUUUGCUCAAAUGUGCUUUAAUUAUAGUUCCCAGUAGGCAGAGCUAUGGUAACAAAAUAUACUAGGCACUAAUGUUUCUUGCAUAAUGAGCAUAGUCAAAGAAUUUAGCAGGAAUGGAUUACAAUUCCCCUCUCUAGAUGAGAAAGCUUUAGAAGUGCCACAUGCCUCUCUUUGGUCUGACAUCCUCUUGUCUUCUGUUUUAGUUUAAUCCUAUUAUUUUUCUUUCUUCAGAAGUACAAAAUAUAAUAGCUUUGCUCCUAAGAGAAAAGGACAAACUGACAAGACCCCUUCUAUUAUCCUGAGCCGAUUGGUUAAAUGUAGCAUUCGUAAUGCAGAGAGAAAUAAACAAUUUCUGAACUAAAGCUAAUUUAAGAUUUCAAUGAAGAAAAAAACACAGAACCUGCUUACGCAGUGAAAAGAAAAAUUGAUUGACAACAAAGAAUUAAGUACCCCAAAAGGCUAAGUAAGUUUGAUUCUAAGAAGAAAAGGCAGUUAAAAAAAUAAUAUAACAACUGACAAAGUGUAGAGAUGCUUGGUGAAUAUAAUUAUAUCUACCUAACAUCAGUGCAACUAUUUGAAAAGCACAGCAUUCAAACUGUAAUUUUUUUUUUGCUCUGCAUGAUGCAAAAUAAGCAAUUUAAUUUUUCUUUUUCCACUAAAUUGACUGGCUCUUGAAUGCAUUAUUUGACCCACAGUUCUGUAUUAUCCAUAGCAUUUCCCAGAUGACUGAACUAAGCAGAUAUUUUAUUGUUGUUUUUUUUUCCCCUGAUAGGCAUGUAUUGGGGCUGCAGACAGUAAUAAUUAGAAAAAGGAGGAAGACAUAACAUUUGGAACUUGGGAGCAUAUAUUUUGGAAGCUUGAGUGCUUCCCAGCCUGGAGACCAGUGUUGCUGUGCAGUGACCUGCAGACCCUGUCUUAGCUCCAAGGGCUUGUGCAUAUUUAGAAAUUCAGUUUGGUGUCUUAUAAGUAGGGCAAAGGUGUUCAUGGCUUAUUGUGGAUUCUGAACUGGUUCUUUUCUUAUAUCUAGUUUUAACCUUUCUCUCAUGAAUGCCCUGAACCUUGAGGUGCCACAUGAUUCAUACCAAAGAGUAGUUUCUUCCCAGGGCUGUCUGUCUUGAGAGAGACCUAAAAAUAUUGCUAUCUGAGCUCAACCCUAUCCCAUUGUCCACGUGGCAGAAUUGGGAAAUUUGGGAAGUUUAUAAGUAGAAAAGUUAUUUAUGGCACACAGCACAUUGUCUCAUUUGUUUGAGUGUAAGAUAGCACAGGUUCACCUCAAACUACAAUCUUCCUGCCUCAGCUUCAUAAGUGCUGAAAAUAGAGGCAUGCAGUUCUCCAUCGUGUUUUGAUAUGUGUGCACACUGGAAAAUGGGACAAUGAAGCUGCCAUGUACAUUUCCAGAUGUGCCAUGUGCACUUGGUCUUUGUCACUUUUAUCCCACAGUCCUCUUCACCCCACCAUUAGCAAGAACAAAACAUAUUUAUCAUUAAUUACAUGAUUUCCCCACCCCCCCAGGGAGUUUAUUGCUGUCCACCAUGGCUGAUUUUACUGAGCAACAGACUCACAUAGAUUGCCUUGGUCUGUGAGUCAAGAGAAACAUUUUACGAGUGUGUCUUCAAAACAAAAUAUAGAAUGAUCUUUGC
rnacentral:lncRNA from 1 species